rnacentral:misc_RNA from 1 species
GCUUGACUGAUGCAUGAAGUGAAUUUAUCACAUUAUUAUCAUCUUGGACUUUCAUAUCCUGCCCAUGCUCCUUAUUUUUGGUUUUAGGCAUAUAUACUUCACUUUCAUGACCAUUGGGGGAAUCUGCUCUGGACUUCGUUCCAGGUGACUGGAAUUCACUACUGGGUGCACUAAGUAGUUCUGAUUUGGCAAGAGAGAGCCCUUGCAACUUUGACUUUGAGGACUUGCUUCUGUUAGCAGCUUCAAA